rnacentral:rRNA from 1 species
UGGGGAAUAUUGGACAAUGGGGGCAACCCUGAUCCAGCAAUGCCGCGUGGGUGAAGAAGGCCUUCGGGUUGUAAAGCCCUUUUGUACGGGAAGAAAUCCUGUCGGUUAAUACCCGGCGGGGAUGACGGUACCGUAAGAAUAAGCACCGGCUAACUUCGUGCCAGCAGCCGCGGUAAUACGAAGGGUGCAAGCGUUAAUCGGAAUUACUGGGCGUAAAGCGUGCGUAGGCGGUUGGUUAAGUCAGAUGUGAAAGCCCUGGGCUCAACCUGGGAAUGGCAUUUGAAACUGGCUGGCUAGAGUGUGAUAGAGGAUGGCGGAAUUCCCGGUGUAGCGGUGAAAUGCGUAGAGAUCGGGAGGAACAUCCGUGGCGAAGGCGGCCAUCUGGAUCAACACUGACGCUGAGGCACGAAAGCGUGGGGAGUAA